rnacentral:rRNA from 1 species
GCUCAAAUUUGAAAUCUGGCGCAAGCCCGAGUUGUAAUUUGUAGAGGAUGCUUCUGGGCAGCGGCCGGUCUAAGUUCCUUGGAACAGGACGUCAUAGAGGGUGAGAAUCCCGUAUGUGACCGGUUGGCACCCUCCACGUAGCUCCUUCGACGAGUCGAGUUGUUUGGGAAUGCAGCUCUAAAUGGGAGGUAAAUUUCUUCUAAAGCUAAAUACCGGCCAGAGACCGAUAGCGCACAAGUAGAGUGAUCGAAAGAUGAAAAGCACUUUGGAAAGAGAGUUAAAAAGCACGUGAAAUUGUUGAAAGGGAAGCGCUUGCGACCAGACUUGUCGGCGGUGUUCCGCCGGUCUUCUGACCGGUCUACUCGCCGUCGGCAGGCCAGCAUCAUCUGGGGCCGCCGGAUAAAGGCUCAGGGAAUGUAGCUCCCCUCGGGGAGUGUUAUAGCCCUUUGCACAAUACGGCGCGCCCCGGGUGAGGUCCGCGUCUCGGCAAGGAUGCUGGCGUAAUGGUCGUAAGCGGCCCGUCUUGAAACACGGACCAAGGAGUCGAUUAUCUAUGCGAGUGUUCGGGCGUCAAACCCCUACGCGUAAUGAAAGUGAACGGAGGUGGGAACUUCGGUGCACCAUCGACCGAUCCGGAUGUCUUCGGAUGGAUUUGAGUAAGAGCAUAGCUAAUCGGACCCGAAAGAUGGUGAACUAUGCCUGAAUAGGGUGAAGCCAGAGGAAACUCUGGUGGAGGCUCGCAGCGGUUCUGACGUGCAAAUCGAUCGUCAAAUUUGGGUAUAGGGGCGAAAGACUAAUCGAACCAUCUAGUAGCUGG